rnacentral:tRNA from 1 species
GCCUGGGUGGCUCAGUUGGUUAAGCAUCUGACUUCGGCUCAGAUCAUGAUCUCGCAGUUUGUGGGUUCAAGCCCCACAUCUGACU